GACGAACGCUGGCGGCGUGCUUAACACAUGCAAGUCGAACAGAAAGGCCCUGCUUGCAGGGUACUCGAGUGGCGAACGGGUGAGUAACACGUGGGUGAUCUGCCCUGCACUUCGGGAUAAGCCUGGGAAACUGGGUCUAAUACCGGAUAGGAGCCAUUUUUAGUGUGAUGGUUGGAAAGUUUUUUCGGUGUAGGAUGAGCUCGCGGCCUAUCAGCUUGUUGGUGGGGUAAUGGCCUACCAAGGCGGCGACGGGUAGCCGGCCUGAGAGGGUGGACGGCCACAUUUGGGCUGGGAAUAGGGCCAGGACUCCAAGGGAGGGAGGAGGGGGGGAAAAUGGAACAAGGGGGGCAGGCUGAUGGCGGGAAGGCGGGGGGGGGGAGAAGGGCUUUGGGUUGUAAAACCCCUUCGGCUAGGGAGGAAGCUUUUGUGACGGUACCUAGAUAAGAAGCACCGGCUAACUACGUG
rnacentral:rRNA from 1 species